rnacentral:tRNA from 1 species
GCGGUCGUGGCGGAACUGGCAGACGCGCACGUUUGAGGGGCGUGUGGGCAACCGUAUGGGUUCAAGUCCCAUCGACCGCACCA